rnacentral:rRNA from 1 species
AUUGAACGCUGGCGGCAGGCUUAACACAUGCAAGUCGAGCGGAGAUGAGGUGCUUGCACCUUAUCUUAGCGGCGGACGGGUGAGUAAUGCUUAGGAAUCUGCCUAUUAGUGGGGGACAACAUUCCGAAAGGAAUGCUAAUACCGCAUACGCCCUACGGGGGAACGCAGGGGAUCUUCGGACCUUGCGCUAAUAGAUGAGCCUGAGUCGGAUUAGCUAGUUGGUGGGGUAAAGGCCUACCAAGGCGACGAUCUGUAGCGGGUCUGAGAGGAUGAUCCGCCACACUGGGACUGAGACACGGCCCAGACUCCUACGGGAGGCAGCAGUGGGGAAUAUUGGACAAUGGGCGGAAGCCUGAUCCAGCCAUGCCGCGUGUGUGAAGAAGGCCUUUUGGUUGUAAAGCACUUUAAGCGAGGAGGAGGCUACCUGGAUUAAUACUCUAGGAUAGUGGACGUUACUCGCAGAAUAAGCACCGGCUAACUCUGUGCCAGCAGCCGCCGUAAAAC